UUGAACGCUGGCGGCAGGCCUAACACAUGCAAGUCGAGCGGAUGAAGGGAGCUUGCUCCUGGAUUCAGCGGCGGACGGGUGAGUAAUGCCUAGGAAUCUGCCUGGUAGUGGGGGAUAACGUCCGGAAACGGGCGCUAAUACCGCAUACGUCCUGAGGGGGAAAGUGGGGGAUCUUCGGACCUCACGCUAUCAGAUGAGCCUAGGUCGGAUUAGCUAGUUGGUGGGGUAAAGGCCUACCAAGGCGACGAUCCAUAACUGGUCUGAGAGGAUGAUCAGUCACACUGGAACUGAGACACGGUCCAGACUCCUACGGGAGGCAGCAGUGGGGAAUAUUGGACAAUGGGCGAAAGCCUGAUCCAGCCAUGCCGCGUGUGUGAAGAAGGUCUUCGGAUUGUAAAGCACUUUAAGUUGGGAGGAAGGGCAGUAAGUUAAUACCUUGCUGUUUUGACGUUACCAACAGAAUAAGCACCGGCUAACUUCGUG
rnacentral:rRNA from 1 species